UACGGGAGGCAGCAGUGGGGAAUAUUGCACAAUGGGCGCAAGCCUGAUGCAGCCAUGCCGCGUGUAUGAAGAAGGCCUUCGGGUUGUAAAGUACUUUCAGUCGUGAGGAAGGUGUUAAGGUUAAUAACCUUAGCAAUUGACGUUAGCGACAGAAGAAGCACCGGCUAACUCCGUGCCAGCAGCCGCGGUAAUACGGAGGGUGCGAGCGUUAAUCGGAAUUACUGGGCGUAAAGGGCACGCAGGCGGUUAAUUAAGUUGGAUGUGAAAUCCCCGGGCGUUAACCUGGGAAUGGCAUUCAAGACUGGUUAGCUAGAGUCUUGUAGAGGGGGUAGGAAUUCCAUGUGUAGCGGUGAAAUGCGUAGAGAUGUGGAGGAAUACCGGUGGCGAAGGCGGCCCCUGGGACAAGACUGACGCUCAUGUGCGAAAGCGUGGGGAGCAAACAGGAUUAGAUA
rnacentral:rRNA from 1 species